GACGAACGCUGGCGGCGUGCUUAACACAUGCAAGUCGAGCGGAAAGGCCCUUCGGGGUACUCGAGCGGCGAACGGGUGAGUAACACGUGAGUAACCUGCCCUCAGCUUUGGGAUAACCCUCGGAAACGGGGGCUAAUACCGGAUAUUACUUCUGCCUGCAUGGGUGGGAGUGGAAAGAUUUUUCGGUCUGAGGUUGGACUCGCGGCCUAUCAGCUUGUUGGUGGGGUGAUGGCCUACCAAGGCGACGACGGGUAGCCGGCCUGAGAGGGCGACCGGCCACACUGGGACUGAGACACGGCCCAGACUCCUACGGGAGGCAGCAGUGGGGAAGUAUUGCACAAUGGGCGGAAGCCUGAUGCAGCGACGCCGCGUGAGGGAUGAA
rnacentral:rRNA from 1 species